rnacentral:SRP_RNA from 1 species
GCUGGGCGUGGUGUCAUGCGCCUGUAAUCUAGCUACUUGGAGGCCAGGAUGCGGAAUUUAGUGGUACCGGGAGUUCUGGCACAUGAGUGCUCAUGUUGAUCAGGCAUCCACGCUAAGCACGGCGCCGAUAUGAAUCACCUGUCGGAGGACGGGUUGUCCAAGUCGACUAAGGAAGGGCGCACCAGCACAUGAGGGAAACCCAGCA